UAAUCAGAUUUAUUUUCCUCUAAUAAGACAGUUUAGCAUCUCCGAGUUUUGCAUUCUACAGUCUUACAAACUUUAGUUAUUAGCAUCAGAAACACAAAAACAUUGCAAGACCUCAAAUCACUGGUCACAAAAUCACUUGGACUGUCAAGAUGUGUCUUCACAGCAAGCGGCUACUACAGACGCAACUUUUAAAACAGGCAGAUUAAAA
rnacentral:lncRNA from 1 species